AUUGAACGCUGGCGGCAGGCCUAACACAUGCAAGUCGAGCGGACGAAGGGAGCUUGCUCCUGGAUCUAGCGGCGGACGGGUGAGUCAUGCCCAGGAAACUGCCUGGUAGUGGGGGAUAACGCCCGGCAACGGGCGCUAAUACCGCAUACGACCUGAGGGAGAACGUGGGGGAUCUUCGGACCUCACGCUAUCCGAUGAGCCUAGGUCGGAUUAGCUAGUUGGUGGGGUAAAGGCCUACCAAGGCGACGAUCCGUAACUGGUCUGAGAGGAUGAUCAGUCACACUGGAACUGAGACACGGUCCAGACUCCUACGGGAGGCAGCAGUGGGGAAUAUUGGACAAUGGGCGAAGGCCUGAUCCAGCCAUGCCGCGUGUGUCAAGAAGGUCUUCGGAUUGUAAAGCACUUUAAGUUGGGAGGAAGGGCAGUAAGUUAAUACCUUGCUGUUUUGACGUUACCAACAGAAUAAGCACCGGCUAACUUCGUG
rnacentral:rRNA from 1 species